GAUGAACGCUGGCGGCGUGCCUAAUACAUGCAAGUCGAGCGAACGGACGAGAAGCUUGCUUCUCUGAUGUUAGCGGCGGACGGGUGAGUAACACGUGGAUAACCUACCUAUAAGACUGGGAUAACUUCGGGAAACCGUAGCUAAUACCGGAUAAUAUUUUGAACCGCAUGGUUCAAAAGUGAAAUACGGUCUUGCUGUCACUUAUAGAUGGAUCCGCGCUGCAUUAGCUAGUUGGUAAGGUAACGGCUUACCAAGGCAACGAUGCAUAGCCGACCUGAGAGGGUGGUCGGCCACACGAGAGCUGAGACACGGUCCAGACGACUACGAGACGCAGCAGUAGGGAAUCUUACGCAAUGGGCGAAAGCCUGACGGAGCAACGCCGAGUGAGUGAUGAAGGUCUUCGGAUCGUAAAACUCUGUUAUUAGGGAAGAACAUAUGUGUAAGUAACUGUGCACAUCUUGACGGUACCUAAUCAGAAAGCCACGGCUAACUACGUG
rnacentral:rRNA from 1 species